CAGAAACUUGUACUUCGAUUUAUCAGAGGCCACGCCAUACUAAGCUUCGAUUUAUCACAACUUUCUUACUGUUCUAAGCUUCCAAGCUGCAACGAUGGCGACUGUGAUGCAAAAAAUCAAGGAUAUCGAAGAUGAGAUGGCAAGGACUUAAAAGAACAAGGCUACAGCCCAUCAUUUGGGCUUGCUCAAGGAUGCAUUACAAUUGUGUGCUUGGAUGCUAAAUCUUUAGAGGAGUAAAGAAAUUGUAUCUAGCAUAAAGACAAGUAUUGGAAGAUUUUCAGUCAUGAUUAAUUUAUCAGAUAUGGAGGGCAAUCAACAAGGGCAUAUAACUACCGUGGCCAAUGGGAAAACUAAAAUCAUGCUAAACUUGCAAAGCUACGUAGAGAACUCCUUGAGCCUACAUCAAAAGGAGGUGGUGGUGCUGGUCAGGGUUUUGAUGUUACUAAAAGUGGAGAUGCCAGAGUCGGUUUAGUAGGCUUUCCUUCAGUUGGGAAAUCAACGCUGCUAAAUAAAUUAACAGGGACAUUUUCAGAGGUUGCUUCCUAUGAAUUUACCACCUUGACUUGCAUCCCAGGCGUUAUCAUAUAUAGAGGAGCUAAAAUUCAGUUGUUAGAUCUUCCUGGUAUCAUUGAGGGUGCUAAGGAUGGGAAGGGGCGAGGCAGGCAGGUUAUCAGUACUGCUAGGACAUGCAAUUGUAUUUUAAUUGUUCUUGAUGCAAUAAAGCCAAUCACUCACAAGCGUCUGAUAGAGAAAGAACUUGAGGGAUUUGGCAUAAGAUUAAACAAGGAGCCACCUAAUCUGACAUUCAGGAAGAAAGACAAGGGUGGAAUUAAUUUCGUCUCAACAGUUGCCAACACACACCUUGAUCUUGAAACUGUAAAGGCGAUAUGUAGUGAAUACAGAAUUCAUAAUGCUGAUAUUACUCUGAAGUACGAUGCAACUGCAGAUGACCUUAUAGAUGUCAUUGAAGGCAGCAGGAUAUAUAUGCCCUGCAUCUACGUACUAAACAAGAUUGAUCAAAUUACUCUUGAAGAGCUGGAGAUUUUGGAUAAACUUCCUCACUACUGCCCAAUCAGUGCUCACCUGGAGUGGAACCUUGAUGGUUUGCUGGAGAAGAUAUGGGAAUAUCUAGAUUUGACUCGCAUAUAUACAAAACCAAAAGGACUGAAUCCAGACUAUGAAGAUCCUGUGAUUUUGUCAUCUAAAAGGCGGACAGUUGAGGAUUUUUGCAACCGAAUCCAUAAGGAUAUGGUUAAACAAUUUAAAUAUGCUCUGGUAUGGGGAUCAAGUGCGAAACACAAACCUCAGAGAGUUGGCAAGGAACAUGAACUUGAGGAUGAAGAUGUAGUGCAAAUUAUCAAAAAAGUGUGAUAAAUUUAACUCCAGUUGUACGAGUCCAUUGAGUUCUCCACAUUAUGAAACCAGAUACAUGAAAGAUUACGCCAAUUUUUGAUUUAAGUGUGUUUGCCAUGGUAUGAAUGAUGCAAACGAGAUUGAACAAACACAAUUAGUUGGAAUGAUAUUUAGCAGAAAUUGAGCGUGAUGGAACAUAUGCCCCAUGUGACUAUUUGAACUUUGAAAGGAUAAACCAGAAUAAUGCAUGUAGCUUAUGCCAAACUGCAUGUGUUGUCCUUUUCUAUCAAGUUGGUUAUAUUGAAAAGAAAAAUAGUAGCUUUAAGAUGGCAUGGAAGAUGAUAUUAAUAGCUUAGCUUAGCUUUUCGUUUACAACAGAUGAUUAGCAGAAGCUCAAGUCCUGUUCAUUGCAUGCAGCGAAAUUCAUCAACUGAAGGAGUGAGUACCUGAGCUUGUCUGCGAGGGGCGAGCAUCAGUUCAUAAAAGCAUAAAUGCUGAUUUCACAGGCCCUAUAAGAAGUCAGUUUUAGUUUCGAUCAGGAAAGAGAUUUCGAGAUGUAAGGAGGAUUUCUCUUGCCCUCUUGGAGAACUUCCUUCUUAUUUUAAGUUUCCUUCUGUCAGUUAAAGAACAUGAAUUAAAAACUUCCUUCUGGUUCUGGGAAGGUAAACAGGUACUACUUAACCCUGCCAAAACGACUCCUUAUGCUUGUAUGCACGAGCUUACAACCAUUCAGUGAGAGUGACCCAAUGCAAAAAUAAACCUAAAAAACAACCAACUUACGCCUACCAAGCAGCUCUCUUGCACGAUCGAAAAAGAAAACAAAUAGAACAGCGGCAGCAAAGAAGAGACUAGAGAUGCUAUAAUUGCCCACGAUUGGACCCUAUCUCCUUUGCCCACUCCUUUGGUCCCAGCCUUAAUCUCAGAAACAGUGCCCAAUGUUUUCACUCAAAAGCAGACUACAAAUUCACAAUUGCUUGUCCAAUUACCAAAUUCAACCACCUACUCCUGUGCUCCAUGCACCCACGGACCAUGACACCCCAUGGCUUUAAUCAUGAGGUCCACUAGUAAUCAAUAAGCAGCGGAUCAAAGUGAAGUCAUCAAUUAUCACCAAUAUACAAAUGCAUCAUUGUUUCCGUACGAAAUCAAGGGUGAUGAAGAAAACAAAAACAGCUUAAAAUAGAAAAAGAAAACCAAAACCAUACAAUGAAAGAGACUAAAGAAAUAAUGUUUCUCUAAAAUACAUUAUCAUUACAGGUGACCUAGAAGACGAUAAAUAUGUCCUUGAACAUCAGGCUUUAACACAGCAGUUAAAGUAGCUGAAAAUGCUCCUCCUUGUCUGUUUUAAGAAUAUAAAUAAUGCAUAUAAUUAAAAACUGUCUCAGCAAAAUCAAUCACAAAGCAUUUAAUAAUGCAAUGCAACAUUAAGUGUCGGGCAUUCAAAGGUACCAAGAACAUGAAUUCAUUUUAUCCCAGUUCCACUCAUUUAAGACCUGUUGAGCUUCAAGAAAUAAAUCACCAAACAUAAUGUUCAAAUUAUUUUUUAUGAUUAUUUUGCAUGCUUUAUAUGGUUUGUAAGCAUUCCAGCUAAAGUGAUUCUCUGGUUUUCCACAUGUUAUGGCAACUAAAAAAUAUUCUGUUUCUUUAGUUGGUUUUAUUACCUAAAUCUUAUAUGUGAUAAAUUUAUGAGUUAAUUAAUCUUGUAUAAUCUUACACGACACAUGGGUAUAUACACCCAUGUAAUCAGAAAUUGAUAUGUAAUUUAAAAUCAUGGUGGGCCCUGCCUAAAAAUCCAAAAGAACAUACAGUGUCACUGACCCAUAUUGAACGGUCAAGAGCUUCUGUUGCAUGUGCUUGCAGUUGCAAUUGCGUACAACCUAGGUAUGUAUAAGAUCAUCCUCACAUCCCUCUGUGGGCACACAUCUCUAUAAUGGAAGUAGUUGAAAGGUACCUUACUAACAAAUCGAUUUAUUUAAAUGCUUGGUACUGGUCCUAGACCUCAAAUCUGAUCGGACAUUAGAAUCACAUGACACCGACAUAUCUGACCACUCAGUUGUUCAGCAAUCAAGAGGUCCUACGUGAUAUUUAUAGUACACAUAUUCCCUUUCAAAUGCUUGGAAUAGUUGGUCUAUUGAAAAUGUAAUCUGUAACUUUUUUGCACUUGCAACAAGAAAAAAUUUACUUAUAUUCUCUAAUUUCUAAAUCUUAAUUGCUCUAGGUCUAUAAAAGCUAAAGUUUAUAUUAUUAAGCAUCAACAAUUAGAUAUUAUUAAGUUUAUAUUUUACUGGCUAACCAAGUUACUUAAUGGCAUAUUAAAAUCUAAAAAGAUGUCAAAUGAGUGAAGGAAUAACAUUUUUUUUUAAUAAGCUAAGCUGAAAGAAUAAAACUUUGAUUCUUUUUUUUUUUUUAAGAACAAAGGAGACAUUUAAAGCUGUACAAACUACUGUUGCAUUAAAUAAACGAGUCUCACGACGAAAUUAUGAGGAAGAGUGAUUGAACACAAACUUAGCGACAAUACUAAUGUAUUAGAGAAUUUAGUUUAGCUUAUACCUCAUAGAUCUAUAACAGAGCCUAUUUUUCUGUUAAGAAGAUAAGUGAAAAUUUACUGAUAUACAUUAAAAUCAAUCAGCAAAUCUUUAUCAUGAUAGAGUACUAAGGAAAGUUUUUUUAGUGGGUGCUAGAGAGAAAAAUAAUCCAUAUCAAAUAUAUAAAUUUCAUUAAGGACAUGGAUGAGAGACACUUACAAGUGUAAUAACAAAGGGAGGAGACAUUGACGGGUUUCCUAUAAGAGAGGGUUUACAAAAAGGAUUGUCUUUGACGUCAUACCUUGAGUUCAUACCUGUUUAACUUGGUCAUUGAUGAGCUAACUAGUCAUGUUCAAGAUAAGGCCCAUGGUGCAUGUUAUUUUGUAGAUAAUGUUAUCUUAAUGGAUGGAAUUAGUGAAGUUAACCAACAGUUAGAGUUAUGAAUAAGAACUCUUGAAAGCAUGGGAUUUAAUCUAUGUAAUAGUAAAAGAAAAUAUAUGCAUUGUGAGUUUAGCUAUCGUAGAAGAAAUGGAGGUAAAGUUCAAUUGGAUAGAGUUCUUGUGUCAAAAUGCAACUAAAUCAAGUAUUUAGGUUUCUUCAUUCAGAAAAACUAAGUAAUAGAUGAUGAAUUAAUUCAAAGGAUUAAAACAUAAUGAAUGAAAUGAAGGAUUACAAUGGGUGCGCUAUUUAAUCAAAGGAUCAUUAAUAAAGUUAAGGUAAGUUUUAGAAAAUUGUGGUUAGACUAGAUAUGACGAAUGGGAUUGAAUAUUGGACAUUUAAGGCACAAUAUACGCACAAUAUGAAUUUGGCAGAAAUGAGAAUGUUAAAAUGGAUAUUUGAUAACACAAUAAUGGAUAAAAUUAAAAAUG
rnacentral:misc_RNA from 1 species